GAUGAACGCUAGCGGCAGGCCUAACACAUGCAAGUCGAGGGAGGAGCUUUCGGGCUUCGACCGGCGUACGGGUGCGUAACGCGUAUACAAUCUGCCUUUCACAUAGGGAUAGCCCGAAGAAAUUUGGAUUAAUACCUAAUGGUAUAUAGGAGUGGCAUCACAUUUAUAUUAAAGCUGAGGCGGUGAAAGAUGAGUAUGCGUUCUAUUAGCUAGUUGGAGAGGUAACGGCUCCCCAAGGCGACGAUAGAUAGGGGUUCUGAGAGGGAUAUCCCCCACACUGGUACUGAGAUACGGACCAGACUCCUACGGGAGGCAGCAGUGAGGAAUAUUGGACAAUGGUCGGAAGACUGAUCCAGCCAUGCCGCGUGCAGGAAGACGGCCUUAUGGGUGGUAAACUGCUUUUGCAGGGGAAGAAUAAGGACUACGAGUAGUCUGAUGACGGUACUCUGCGAAUAAGCAUCGGCUAACUCCGUG
rnacentral:rRNA from 1 species